CAACUCUGCCCCUUUGCAUCACUCUGCCCUUUCCCAGCCCAUGCAGGUGGUAAACCUGUAUUAUGAUCACAGUGUAUGGGGUGAGUGUGUGUGUGUGUGUUACAAACAUAUUCAAUGGCUUUUUGAUAUGCAUUCUAUAUACAUUUUCUGUACUUUUUCUUAAUUUUAGAAAUAUAAUUUCCAAUGUCUAAACAGUGUUUUGAAAGACUUUCUCCCUAUUUUUUUAACAAAAUGGCUUCAAGAUGAAUGAGUUAGGGAAAAGUCAGUUAUUCAGUAUUACAGAAAACUUAAGCUUUCAAUUUAUUUUAGCAAGAUUUAGAAGCUCUAGUAAUUGUCAGACAAUGCCCCUCCCCAAAAAAUAGCCUGUGCACGUUUUAAAAUUCAGUUUAUUUUCUAACACAAAUUUCUGAUGCACUCAUAAAUAUACAGGAAUCACAAGUAUUUCAAUGUGGCAGAGUUGUACCUAGGAUACUGUAUAUAUUUUCAUAAACUAGAGUACUAUAGGUUUAUUAGUAUUUGUUAAUAAUAUUGUUUCAAUUUUUUUAAAAAAUGUAUUUCACCCCCCAAAAAAAGGCCUGCCUGAAACACACACGGCAGCAGCAUCACUGGAGUCCAGGGUUUUUGUCACAGAUACACAGCACAGAUUUUUUUGAUUAUGUAGAUUUCUUUUCCUACUGCAGUUUCAUAUGCAAAGCAUGCAUCAGCCACAUCCAUGCUAUCUCCUAAAACAGUCAUUCUGAAACCCAAUCUGAGGGCAGUGCAGACUAAAUAAAAUUUCAUUUUGAUUUGGCCUCCCGCUGCGAAUGGGACUGCUUUGUCUCAGCCGACAGAACCAGCAAGCCAGAAAGCAUUCCUCCUCCCGGAUACCACAUACCCUUGGUAGGACAAGGGUAGAUCAGAGAACUUCUUUAUCACCAGUUCCAACACAGAACGGCAAAGGAAGAUUAGAGUUUCUACAACUUGCUUUGGGGAAGAGAAAUUCUAAUUUCUAUGGACUCCUUUGAGGAAGGAGCUAUAUGAUCUAAGAAUUGUGGCCGCAAACCAAUAUCAAUGUGUGUGUGUGUGCGCACACACACAUGCAUGGGUGUGUGUAUAAUCAUACCAACAUAAAAAUGCUUUAGAGAAUUCUAUCUGAUGUUAUAAUCUGCACUCUGUAAAAUUAUAAAACCCGAUUUUCAGAAUGUACACAUUAUAUUUUAAUUCCUUCUUUUUUUUCAAGUAACAUAUGCUGCAAAUGAUUAUAUUUUUAAAUUGUGGGAUUUGUUUACAGUCCAGCAUAUGAGCAAUCUUGAUGAACAUUCCAUGUGCACUUGACAAUAUUGUGCUUUCAGCAGUUGUUGAGUGUUGUGGU
rnacentral:lncRNA from 1 species